UGGGGAAUAUUGCACAAUGGGCGAAAGCCUGAUGCAGCGACGCCGCGUGGGGGAUGACGGCCUUCGGGUUGUAAACCUCUUUCAGCAAGGAAGAAGCGAAAGUGACGGUACUUGCAGAAGAAGCGCCGGCUAACUACGUGCCAGCAGCCGCGGUAAUACGUAGGGCGCAAGCGUUGUCCGGAAUUAUUGGGCGUAAAGGGCUUGUAGGUGGCUUGUCGCGUCUGCCGUGAAAACUCGAGGCUUAACCUUGGGCGUGCGGUGGGUACGGACAGGCUAGAGUGCGGUAGGGGAGACUGGAAUUCCUGGUGUAGCGGUGAAAUGCGCAGAUAUCAGGAGGAACACCGAUGGCGAAGGCAGGUCUCUGGGCCGUUACUGACACUGAGAAGCGAAAGCAUGGGGAGCGAACAGG
rnacentral:rRNA from 1 species